AUUUAUAUAGUUUAACUAUAUUAAAACCCCUUAUUUUCAAUAAGGAAAUAAGAUAUUUCUUUAUAAAUA
rnacentral:tRNA from 1 species